AGUAAAUUUUGACCUAGAAAACUACUAGUAUAUCUGGUCUUGUAAGAGGCGAGAUGCCUUAAGAAAAAUAAUCAUAACAACCUGAGACAUAAAGAGAGACGAACACGGAGCUUGCAAAAGAUUACGCUUGACCAAGAGUACAUUACUGAACUGGCGUUGGGAUCUCUGGUGCAAAACUGUCUAGCAAUCUAGCAAGUUUUUCUUAAGUAAACGUCAAGUCAUUAGACACUAAACUCAUUGCCGUGGUUUACUGGUAAUGUCUUGGUCAGAUGCAGACCAAACAUGUGCUGUCUUAGCUGUACAUUAAGCUCUGUAAUGCUUGAAAUCAAUUUAGCAAUGCAAAGGGGCUUUUCCAUGGCAGGCGUCACUGCCAAACACUAGCUUUUACAAAGAGGUGGGCUACUGACUCAAGCAACAAAACGAAACAGAAUUCUACAACUGACUAAAAUCAGGGUUCAAAGGAGGGAGGCGAAUUCCUCAGUCAAUCAUUGAAUAGAACUGAUCACAAAUGAACUGGAUAUGUCUAAUAAAAGCUGUUACCCACUGCUGCUGGAUUGGUCUGUCGCCUAGUCACCAACUCCACUCAACGUUGGAAGAAACGUCACCGGGACUGAUUGACAACAAACGUUGCAGAGACAAAGUCAGCAAAAAGCAUUCGGAGGGAGGCAGUUCUUGAGAAGACCAAUCAUUUCGGAGGAUGGGCGGCGCGACAAUAGCGCUGGUGGCUGCUCACCUGCUUCUGCUCAUUAAAGCAGGUCAGUCGAUAAGAUGCUACGGCUGCACAGGCUACGACAUAUCGCGUCCACUUCACCGAAUCACAAAAUAACCCGGCUGCGCUGAUGGCAACUUCGACUGGAGACAGGUGCAGAUUUACACGGCCUAUACACCUGGGUUCAGCUGUUACUCUUUCACCUACAAUAAUGGCCAACAUGAGAUCACCCAAAGGUAUAUGGUCCGGAGCCCACUGGCGCGAGAAGACGAACCCCUUUUGCCCAGGAACAGGAACAAAUACAAGGAGAGGGAAUACCGAGAGAGGGUACAGGGAGCGAGACUACAGGGAUAGGGAGAGCCGAGAGAGAGACUCGGAAUAGAAGGAACCAUCGUCAAAGGAUACUACUGCCACACGGAUUACUGCAACAACUCAAUAGCGUUGGCUUCCUCCUUAGUCCUACUUCUGCUGCUGAACAUCCUCGUGAUGCUUCUGCGCUGGUGGUAUUGAGUCUAGAGAGACAUCGGGAGUCUUUCUUUUGUUUUAAUACCUUUUUUAGGAGUCUUAUGAUACAGAAUCAUUAUUAUCAAAGGGAGGAAGGACGGUCCUAGCCUAUUUCAUCUUCAGUUCUUGUCACACACAACUGGAAAGGGACAUAAGUCUAACCCACUUAACCUUUCAAACUUUCCCUUUUUCAUUUUUAUCCAAGCUUCCGGAAUUUCCCUUGAACAUUUCGACAUCCUUACAUGGCAUGGAUGACCUUAUAUGACAUCUUUGACCUCCUAGAAAAACACCAUCGUUCCCUAGUAUGCCCCUCAUACCUCAAGUAUAAGGUGGUGUUAUUCGCGUGUAUUUCCAAGACUUCUGACAGUUCCUGGCGGAACCAGCUAAAGGAUAUGAACGUACUAAUGAUGAUUUCAAAAGGAGAAACUGUGAACGGCACGAUCUUCGUCCCUCACGUUCUCUUAACGAACGAAAAUGAUAGUUGUUAAGUUUUGUAAUGUUAUGAUAAGUUUAGUCAGGAUUGGCGUUGGAAGUUUUUUAUUUCUUAUUUUUGAAUUGUUUUCAUACUCUUGUCAUUUCAUCUUUCAAAUUUAAGCCUGACUUCCCUUAUGUAAUUAUUGAUAAAGCUAAAAAUAGUAUUUAUUCGUAGUACAUGGCCGUUAGAAGAGUGUGCUAUAGUAGCACUACACAAAGAGUAGACUAUGCUAUGCAUGGUAUUGUAGGACAAUGUUACUGCCACAUUUACAUGAUGUGAUUUCCCAAUGUUUAAUUCAUUUGAUAGUGCCAAAUCGCAUGUAAUUAGACUAUCUUAUUGGAGUAACAUUAACAUUACUUAUAGUCAGCGAAUGUUCAAUAAACUAUACAAGUAAGCAAGAAUACAGGAAGUUAACCAGGUCGAAAUGUACUUAAUAACAUAGUGCUAACAGAUAGUACUAACAGUUGUAAGAGUAUCAGCCUAAAGGACACAGAUCUUCUUGGGCCCCCCUGCCCGAAAAGAAACUAAAAGUUUUAUUUGUAGCAAUGCACAAAGUACAAACGUUUCGGAUUUCGUAGCUACUUUCUGUAGAAUUUGUAGUCACUUUGUACUUAUUCUCAAUUUUGUUGGAGUAAAUAUUGCACAAGUGACUCUAAGUUCUAAGUUCUGCGCCUGGAGCAGCCCGCAGGAGCAAAUUGGUACCUAUGGAUGGUAUUCUUGCUUCACAUGAUUUACUAACCUUUCUUAAUAAGAUUAAAAAACGUAGUCUUAUUAUUCCAUAGCAAAAAAAGAGUAGACUUUGCAAAACCAUUUCAAUUACAUUUAGGACUUCAGCUUAACAGGGGUAUCAAAAUCAGGACGAGUGAAAAAGCCUUUAGUAAAUAAUAAUUAAAGUGAACUUAUGUACAGUAUUCCUCACAUAGAUUAUUUUAUGUUUUCUAGUAAAGCUUAUUGUUACUCAUAUGUUAUGUAGAAUUAUCUUGUACUAUCAAAAGUACAAAUUACGGUAAAUAUAUCUUUUAAGUUGGUUCAAAAGUUGAAUAAACCAUUUUGAAGUAAAA